rnacentral:misc_RNA from 1 species
ACCCGCUGAACUUAAGCAUAUUAGUCAGCGGAGGAA